CCUACGGGAGGCAGCAGUGGGGAAUAUUGGUCAAUGGACGAGAGUCUGAACCAGCCAAGUCGCGUGAAGGAUGACUGCCCUAUGGGUUGUAAACUUCUUUUAUAUGGGAAUAAAAUGUUCCACGUGUGGGAUUUUGUAUGUACCAUAUGAAUAAGGAUCGGCUAACUCCGUGCCAGCAGCCGCGGUAAUACGGAGGAUCCGAGCGUUAUCCGGAUUUAUUGGGUUUAAAGUGAGCGUAGGUGGAUUGUUAAGUCAGUUGUGAAAGUUUGCGGCUCAACCGUAAAAUUGCAGUUGAAACUGGCAGUCUUGAGUACAGUAGAGGUGGGCGGAAUUCGUGGUGUAGCGGUGAAAUGCUUAGAUAUCACGAAGAACUCCGAUUGCGAAGGCAGUUCACUGGACUGCAACUGACACUGAGGCUCGAAAGUGUGGGUAUCAAACAGGAUUAGAUACCCCUGUAGUC
rnacentral:rRNA from 1 species